rfam:Brucella phage F1 complete genome
UGCGCGGCUAAUCCGGCCAGAUGAAAAGCAGUUACGCUGACUGCCUGCCGCGUUUACAAAUUAGCG